rnacentral:rRNA from 1 species
AACGAACGCUGGCGGCAGGCCUAACACAUGCAAGUCGAGCGAGGACUUCGGUCCUAGCGGCGGACGGGUGAGUAACGCGUGGGAACGUGCCCUUUGCUACGGAAUAGCCCCGGGAAACUGGGAGUAAUACCGUAUGUGCCCGAGAGGGGAAAGAUUUAUCGGCAAAGGAUCGGCCCGCGUUGGAUUAGGUAGUUGGUGGGGGAAUGGCCUACCAAGCCGACGAUCAAUAGCUGGUUUGAGAGGAUGAUCAGCCACACUGGGACUGAGACACGGCCCAGACUCCUACGGGAGGCAGCAGUGGGGAAUCUUAGACAAUGGGGGAAACCCUGAUCUAGCCAUGCCGCGUGAGCGAUGAAGGCCUUAGGGUUGUAAAGCUCUUUCAGUGGGGAAGAUAAUGACGGUACCCACAGAAGAAGCCCCGGCUAACUCCGUGCCAGCCGCCGCAGUAAGAC